rnacentral:tRNA from 2 species
GGGGAUGUAGCUCAGUUGGGAGAGCGCGGCGUUCGCAACGCCGAGGUCGAGGGUUCGAUUCCCUUCAUCUCCACCA